ACGCUCGACACCUACGGGAGCAGCAGUGGGGAAUAUUGCACAAUGGGGGAAACCCUGAUGCAGCGACGCCGCGUGAAGGAAGAAGUAUCUCGGUAUGUAAACUUCUAUCAGCAGGGAAGAAAGUGACGGUACCUGACUAAGAAGCCCCGGCUAACUACGUGCCAACAGCCGCGGUAAUCUGAGCGGGCUGGCAAGGC
rnacentral:rRNA from 1 species